CCCCUUCCUGGAAGUGACAGGUGGGUGAGGCCUGCACGACACCCCUGUCCCCGGGUUUGGCGCCGUCUGUGUGGAGAUGGGGCCCCCGUGCGUCACGGAGCACCUGAGGGCAGCGCUGCUCCUUCUCCGUGUUCCGCCCCGUGUUCGCGGCUUCACACACUGGGGGCCACUCGCCGCAUCGGCCACCGACCUCGUCCAGCUGCCCCCGCUCCGAGGAGCCACCUGCACCCACUUGAACCAACAGAAUUUAGCGCAAACCGACGUUUUCGCAGCAGCCGGGUCUACACGCGCAUCUCCUGUGUGGUGGGAGCAGUCCCCUAGGAAGACGCCUUUCUGAAAAUCCGCGUCUUUCCCGAAAGGAUACCAGUUUAAAACCCAUUUAUUCGGAAGGGGCAUUGAAAAGCCUUCAAAUUCUUCUUAGGCAGCCGUACUUUGGACUGAACUUUUAACUGAGUACCUUUCCCGCUGGAUUUUACUGCAGACGUGAGGGUGAGGGUUACAAGCCUUGGUGAUGUGAACAGAACGCCCAGGAACGCAUGGAACAUUCUUCUUCUGGCAGAUGUGGGUCCCUCCCCCGAUGCCUUAUGUUCAGGGGACUCACACAUUCACGUUAUCUGCUCGGCUCUGUGGACCUUCUGCUUAACCCUCUCCUAUCGAAGUUCAUUUACUAUUCUGAAGAGACAGAUGGGCCGAGAGGCAGGAUUUUCUAAAACGAUUUGAGCAAAGUCGCGAAUAGAGCUGGAGGCAGAAACCAGGCAGCCAAGCUGGUCUCGGGUUCCUUCUCGGCUUCCGAAGCUCAGGAUUAUCUCCAGUCUCACCAGUGGGAAUUGGGAGGCAGGGCCAUGUUCCUGUCCAGAGCUCAGGUUUGGAGCCAGAUUCCCUGAACCUAAUCACGGACUCCACCCUUGACUCCGUAGCUGGCCCCGCAUGAUGUGAAGAAGCCGUGGUUUCUUCCUCUAUCAAACGGGACUUCUUCAAGCAUCGCACUGGGCGACAAUGCGCUUCAAUAAGGUGAUGAAUAUUACAGCUCAGUGCCUGCCAUAGAGUAGUGAGAGGCCGCAUGGAAAGUGGACCAUGACCACACUGCAUAUUCAAACAGAACUCUGAGCCACACCUGCCCCGAUCGGCUCAGGAAACCGACCACUAUCUAUGUCAUGGGCCCAGGAAGCCGGUCUGCUCUCUGUAAGUCAGGAAGUCAGACUGUGGUGUCUGGGAGCAAUCCAGGAAGCCAGACAAUAACUCCUGUAAAACCCGGCUCGGAAAGGGCAGCUUCCCCACUUUCUGCCCUGCGUCUAAUUUAGGACCAGCCAAAGUGAGCCAAAUACGCUCCCUGGCCAAUCCCCCGGGAGCCUGCACCCAGUGUCCGACAGCCUGCACCGAGGUGGCCCUGAGCUGCGUCUUUCCCCCCAUAAGCCUUUCCCAGCCCUGUGCCUGCCGGUGAGCCCCUGUCUCACUCCAGGAACGCUGGCUGACUCCCUGGCUAAUAGCAAUCCCUGAGUAGCCUCCGCUUUCCUCAUUUGGCUGCUCUUUCUGUCUUUCCACAGUAUCAUUCAGUGAGUAGUAUGAGUCAUAAAAACAAUAACAUAAUUAUUGAAUUAAAUAUGAAAUCAAUGAAUCAUCAGGUAAUGCAUCUCCAGAAGACUCAGACGUAAUUUCUCUUAAUUUCAAUGGAAGCAUUAUUGAUCGUCUCUCCUUGCAUUCAUUUUAUUUUGCCGAAUCUUGAUUUUCUUAGUAAAUUAUUCAUGGGUGGUAUGCCAGCCUUACGUCCUCUGCUUAUUGGUGUGCAGGCCGGUUAACUUUAAAGUGAUUUGCGGCUCUCUUUCUAAGAUCGCCAGGGCCAGUAAUUCUAACGCACUGUCUGAGACAGCCACACACAGGAGGGGACAGUGGCUUUUACAGCAGACUCGGUCCUGUCUCUGGCUUCUGCUGAUCUUUCAGACUUGUCACAAUACUCAGGAGGAAAUUGCUUUGGGCUCUUGAAUGUGUUCUUCAGAAAGCUCAUAGAUUUCUUGGCUUAGUCCCCUGCAGUUGUAGACUUGUAUACAAAUUGAUCCUUUGAUGAUUCAUUCCAGUAUUUUUAAUGGGUAUUGAAUUUGAGCUAUUCAUGUCUAGAUUUCUGAUUUCCUUUCAGAAUUUGUUCCUCUUAUGUGAAGAAAAUGCACUAGUUUUCUGUGCUUUAUCAAUCCCUUGGAUCCUAUGUGCUCUUACAAUAACUGCUGAAACCCAGUAAUUACAUCUGUGCAGUCCAUUCUUAGAGGGCCGGGGUUAUCCUACUCAUAAAUGUUCAGUUGGGCCUCACCGAGACGCCUCAGCAACACUGUGCAGCUGAAACACAGACACGCACGUUCCAGAAGAUGCGUCACGUCUCACCCUUUCUAUUUUGCAACUCCCCUGCCCCAGAAACGACCAGAAUCUGUAGGACAAGAUCUCUGACCUCUGACCAACCGUAAUGUACAACCCCUUACGAAAAGAUGAUCAAGGAACAGGUUGGUUACCAUGUAAUCUGUAACACAAGCCUCUUCUGCCGCUAAACCCAGGGGAAAACAGGAGGCAAAAAAAUCCUAAAUCUCUGAAUGCGGUUUCAAUAGUGUCGAUUAAAUGCGACUACUUUAUGGCGGGAAUUUAGUUACGUUGUUCUUAACAAAGGGUGGUCUGGCACAGAGCUAGUUAGAAGUGAAAGUAAUGUCGCGUGUAAUUUUGCUGUGAAUUUCAGCCUGGAUAGAGGCUGUUUCAGUAGAGGGAGUCCUGGUCAGUGGGGAGACAGAUGGCAUACUUCAGGAACUGUGGGAGGCAGGGAUGAACUUGAGAUACUUGCAGAGAACUGUCGCUAUGUAUUUCUUUUUGUAUGAUCCAAAAUAUAGGAAAGUAAAGGAAGGGGGAUGAGGCUCAUUUCAUUGGGUUUAAGCUUCUGCAACAGGAGGAAAAUAAUAGUGGAAAAGGAGUUAUGGGAGAAAAGAACUUAGCACCAACGUCUAUACGCUCAAAUCACUGAGCCUUCACUUCUGCCACUAAAUUACCAUCCAAAGGCCUAAGAUCUCCUAUCAUUCGUGGAUGGAAUACGGGCUAUCCUUAGAAACCAGCAAAUUGCUUGUCAACAUGAAAACUGGCCUGGUCAGAGAGUUCCAGAAGUUAUCAGUAUUUCUAAAUAUUUUAAAGAGAGAAUAAAUUGGUUGUCUUAAGGGACCGUGUGCAAGGACAUAGCAGCAAAGCUGAAAGCAUGCUCACGGAGGGACCGGAGAGAGGGAGAGAGAGUGAGGGAGGUAAAAGCAAGAUGUCUCAGCCCCACCCAGGAGAAAACGUGCUUGUUCUGGGGUGUCUUCUCUACAGCAGUUUGUGGGCCAGAAUACGGGCACAAUCUCACCUGAUCGUAGCAGCAGUGCAUGCGGAAGAAAGAACAGACACACCGUCAAAGUCUGAAAACAGACUUAUCUCCUGAUGGGCAAUUACGUGAUAUGACCCGGAACGUUGCUUUAAAAAUUCAAAUUUGCCAUCGAGGGGGGCACCUGUGGGGGCGAGCACUGGGUGUCGCACCUAAGUGAGGAAUCACUGGGUUCCGCUCCUGAGGCCAAGACUACGCUGUAUGUUAGCGAACUUGAACUGAAAUAAACGGACUUCAAAAAACUGAAA